rnacentral:rRNA from 1 species
CAGGAGCUUGCUUCUGUGAUUAGUGGCGAACGGGUGAGUAACACGUGAGUAACCUGCCCCUGACUCUGGGAUAAGCGUUGGAAACGACGUCUAAUACUGGAUAGGACUACUGGCCGCAUGGUCUGGUGGUGGAAAGAUUUUUUGGUUGGGGAUGGACUCGCGGCCUAUCAGCUUGUUGGUGAGGUAAUGGCUCACCAAGGCGACGACGGGUAGCCGGCCUGAGAGGGUGACCGGCCACACUGGGACUGAGACACGGCCCAGACUCCUACGGGAGGCAGCAGUGGGGAAUAUUGCACAAUGGGCGAAAGCCUGAUGCAGCAACGCCGCGUGAGGGAUGACGGCCUUCGGGUUGUAAACCUCUUUUAGUAGGGAAGAAGCGAAAGUGACGGUACCUGCAGAAAAAGCACCGGCUAACUACGUGCCAGCAGCCGCGGUAAUACGUAGGGUGCAAGCGUUGUCCGGAAUUUAUUGGGCGUAAAGAGCUCGUAGGCCGGUUUUGCCGCGUCUGCCUGUGGAAAUCCCGAGGCCUCAACCUCCGGGCUUGCAGUGGGUACGGGCAGACUAGAGUGCGGUAGGGGAGAUUGGAAUUCCUGGUGUAGCGGUGGAAUGCGCAGAUAUCAGGAGGAACCACCGAUGGCGAAGGCAGAUCUCUGGGCCGUAACUGACGCUGAGGAGCGAAAGCAUGGGGAGCGAACAGGGAUUAGAUACCCUGGGUAGUCCAUGGCCGUAAACGUUGGGGCGGCUAGAUGUAGGGACCUUUCCACGGUUUCUGUGUCGUAGCUAACGCAUUAAGCGCCCCGGCCUGGGGGAGUACGGCCGCAAGGCUAAAACUCAAAGGAAUUGACGGGGGCCCGCACAAGCGGCGGAGCAUGCGGAUUAAUUCGAUGCAACGCGAAGAACCUUACCAAGGCUUGACAUACACCGGAAACGGCCAGAGAUGGUCGCCCCCUUGUGGUCGGUGUACAGGUGGUGCAUGGUUGUCGUCAGCUCGUGUCGUGAGAUGUUGGGUUAAGUCCCGCAACGAGCGCAACCCUCGUUCUAUGUUGCCAGCGCGUUAUGGCGGGGACUCAUAGGAGACUGCCGGGGUCAACUCGGAGGAAGGUGGGGAUGACGUCAAAUCAUCAUGCCCCUUAUGUCUUGGGCUUCACGCAUGCUACAAUGGCCGGUACAAAGGGCUGCGAUCCCGUAAGGUGGAGCGAAUCCCAAAAAGCCGGUCUCAGUUCGGAUUGAGGUCUGCAACUCGCCCUCAUGAAGUCGGAGUCGCUAGUAAUCGCAGAUCAGCAACGCUGCGGUGAAUACGUUCCCGGGCCUUGUA